UUCCUCUGUUGGGUGAAGAGCCUCUCCCACUUGGGCCUUCAUUCCCAGAUGGAUCUAUAUGUAGAGUUCCAAUAUCAGUGCGCAGGUUUAUGGCAAUGGUUGACCAACCCAGUGGUCCAGUGUUUGUCCUACAAUGCUAAUAUUAAAAGGAUGUCAAAUUCAGUCCCAAGCAUGGAAAUUGAUUUGAAAAUGGAGAGAAAUAAAUACCACCUGCCAGUAUAAUGACAACCAAUCAUCUGAAGCUUGGAUUUGGGGCGGAUUGACGUAAGCAUUUUCCAGUCAAUUGCUACUGGAUUUAGGUCUUCAAGUGCUACAGAACGCAUGUCAG